GAAAUCUGUUUUGUGGUAACCAGACUUCACAGGAUCUGUUCAAUAUUAUGUCAAUAUGGGGAUUUUCUCACUGCUUUUCAGGGAUGGGGCUAUGGCUAUUAAAGUGAAACUACUUUCCCUGGGAAAUUAUUUCUGCUACAUGGCUCCAGAUAAGGACUGUAUGUACAAGUGCUACACUGUAUGUACAAGUGCAAAUAUACGAGAUAAGAUGUAUGAAUUAAGGAAAGGACCUGAUGUCUGUGUAUGGCCAAAGCUUUAUUUAAAUGUUACUUUUAUGUUUUGAGCAAUAUUCCCCUCAACCUCUUGACAUCAUCACCAUAAUAGCUAAGUGCUCACUGCUGCUACACAAACUUGAUAUAUAAUAUUCUUAUAUUUCUAUUUAAGAAAUCCAGAUGUUCAGCCAUUGCCUAUUGGCAAACAUGGAUGAGCUGAAUGAACUGUUAGCAGCUUUUCCAAAAUCGAGCAACUGAGAGAGCACUGAAGCUGAGGAGGAAGCCUGCAGUUGGGCUCUUACAAGCCACUGACAAGUACAUGGUGACCUGUGUAAAAGAAUGGCUUCGAGUUCCAGGAGCAAGGCUUAGAAAUGGCAUAAGGAAAACGCGUACUGAAAAACAGAGGUGUAGAUAGAGAAUCUGCAAACAAAAGUGCUGAAUUGCAACAGAACAAAGAAAUCCAAAAAGUUGGUGUUGACAACAUAUUUUUCACAGGGUUAUGACCCUUGUUUUUGAACUUGGUACAUAUACUGCCAGGUUCUCCUGGACACUACUGAAGUUAAUAAAUGAAACUGUCUGUGCUUAUCUAAGGUACAAACGCAAUAAGAUGGUUAUAAGAACUUAUUUUGUAUGGAGUUAUGGCCUUUGCUUCAUGCUUUUUUAACUUGAUGAAAUAUAGGGGGAAACAGUUUGUCUCACAAACGAAUUUGAAGCCACAUAAAUGAAAUUUUGCAGGCCAAUAUUAGGGGUAUAUGUUUAGACUGUGUUUUAAAACUGGUUUUGAGAAUAUAUGUUUCACAUCCGCCUUGUUGCAGGUAGUAACACUGUUUUCUUGUUAAUAAUAAUUAAUUAAUAAUAAAGUUUAUUAUUCUA